GGCACCUUUCCGGAGUGGUCUAACGGGCUGGUCUCGAAAACCAGUGUGCUACGCACGCGUGUGUUCGAAUCACACAGGUGUCG